UACGGGGGGGGUAAGCGUUGUUCGGAAUUACUGGGCGUAAAGGGCUCGUAGGCGGCCAACUAAGUCAGACGUGAAAUCCCUCAGCUUAACUGGGGAACUGCGUCUGAUACUGGAUGGCUUGGAUUCGGGAGAGGGAAUGCGGAAUUCCAGGUGUAGCGGUGAAAUGCGUAGAUAUCUGGAGGAACACCGGUGGCGAAGGCGGCAUUCUGGACCGACAUUGACGCUGAGGAGCGAAAGCCAGGGGAGCAACGGG
rnacentral:rRNA from 1 species